rnacentral:rRNA from 1 species
UACAGAGGGUGCGAGCGUUAAUCGGAUUUACUGGGCGUAAAGGGCGCGUAGGCGGUUUUGUAAGUGAGAUGUGAAAUCCCUGGGCUUAACCUAGGAACUGCAUCUCAUACUGCGGAGCUAGAGUAUUGUAGAGGGUAGUGGAAUUUCCGGUGUAGCGGUGAAAUGCGUAGAGAUCGGAAGGAACACCAGUGGCGAAGGCGGCUACCUGGACAAAUACUGACGCUGAUGCGCGAAAGCGUGGGGAUCAAACAGG